rnacentral:rRNA from 1 species
AUUGAACGCUGGCGGCAGGCUUAACACAUGCAAGUCGAGGGGAGCGGCAGACGGGUGAGUAACGCGAGGGAACGUACCUUUUGGUUCGGAACAACACAGGGAAACUUGUGCUAAUACCGGAUACCGAAAGAUCGGCCCGCGUCUGAUUAGCUAGUUGGAAGGGUAAUGGCUUACCAAGGCGACGAUCAGUAGCUGGUCUGAGAGGAUGAUCAGCCACAUUGGGACUGAGACACGGCCCAAACUCCUACGAGAUGCAGCAGUGGGUGAUAUUGAACAAGGGCGGCAACCCUAAUCCAGCCAUGCCGCGUGAAUGAUGAAGGCCAUAGGGUUGUAAAGCUCUUUUGUGCGGGAAGCGGUACCGCAAGAAUAAGCCCCGGCUAACUUCGUGCCAGCAGCCGCGGUAAUAC